rnacentral:lncRNA from 1 species
UUUAUUUCACUGUUACCACUGUUUAUUUGACAAUAAUUGAUUUAGUCUAUAAGUUUAAGACAAACAUACUGAUACAUUUGCUUUUCUUCAGAAAUCAUACUUAUAAAAAUUACAUAAAGUCUGUCCCAAACCUCCUAAGAAAUGUCCAUUAAUUAAAAAUAAGUCUGAUUAAGAUGCUUUGCCAGGAUACAAGAGUGAACUAAGGUGGUGUACAAUGUUUUUUAAAAAAAAAAACAAUUAAAAAAAAAAAAACUCAAAAUGGCAAUCUCACCUUGUUUGAGCAAUGUAUUUUGAAAGGGUUAAACUUCAGGCAUUCAGUUCAGUUCAGUUCAGUUCAGUCGCUCAGUCGUGUCUGACUCUUUGCAACCCCAUGAAUCGCAGCACGCCAGGCCUCCCUGUCCAUCACCAACUCCCGGAGUUCACCCAGACUCACGUCCAUCGAGUCAGUGAUGCCAUCCAGCCAUCUCAUCCUCUGUCAUCCCCUUCUCCUCCUGCCCCCAAUCCCUCCCAGCAUCAGAGUCUUUUCCAAUGAGUCAACUCUUCGCAUGAGGUGGCCAAAGUACUGGAGUUUCAGCUUUAGCAUCAUUCCUUCCAAAGAAAUCCCAGGGCUGGUCUCCUUCAGAAUGGACUGGUUGCAUCUCCUUGCAGUCCAGGGGACUCUCAAGAGUCUUCU